rnacentral:rRNA from 1 species
UAGGGAAUCUUCGGCAAUGGACGGAAGUCUGACCGAGCAACGCCGCGUGAGUGAAGAAGGUUUUCGGAUCGUAAAGCUCUGUUGUAAGAGAAGAACGAGUGUGAGAGUGGAAAGUUCACACUGUGACGGUAUCUUACCAGAAAGGGACGGCUAACUACGUGCCAGCAGCCGCGGUAAUACGUAGGUCCCGAGCGUUGUCCGGAUUUAUUGGGCGUAAAGCGAGCGCAGGCGGUUAGAUAAGUCUGAAGUUAAAGGCUGUGGCUUAACCAUAGUACGCUUUGGAAACUGUUUAACUUGAGUGCAAGAGGGGAGAGUGGAAUUCCAUGUGUAGCGGUGAAAUGCGUAGAUAUAUGGAGGAACACCGGUGGCGAAAGCGGCUCUCUGGCUUGUAACUGACGCUGAGGCCCGAAAGCGUGGGGAGCAAACAGGAUUAGAUACCCUGGUAGUCCACGCCGUAAACGAUGAGUGCUAGGUGUUAGACCCUUUCCGGGGUUUAGUGUCGCAGCUAACGCAUUAAGCACUCCGCCUGGGGAGUACGACCGCAAGGUUG